UUGCAGUGGUCAACUGGUAUAGACAUCCCAUUACCACUACUUCCUUCAUUGGACUGCAAGGUAUUUCUGUUUGGAAAAGUAAUGGAGUCCAGUCAACUUCAUUGAUCGCCAAGGACUGUCAAAAUUAUAAAACUUGCUGUGGAGCUCUGACAUGCCAGAAGCCGCUAGAAAAAGAAGUUUGACAUUCAGAAACUUAUCAAGAGGUUCUACUCUUUGGAUAGAGACCAAAAUCAUACUUUGAAAAAAUGAGAAGAGAUGGAAGCCAAGGAAGGGUGUGUGGAAUCAAGUAGCAGUUCUCAAAACAGCAUAUAUCAAGACCUCAGCACAUAUCAAGACCUCAGCACAUAU
rnacentral:lncRNA from 10 species